GCGUCGAGCGGCGGACGGGUGAGUAAUGCCUAGGAAAUUGCCCUGAUGUGGGGGAUAACCAUUGGAAACGAUGGCUAAUACCGCAUGAUGCCUACGGGCCAAAGAGGGGGACCUUCGGGCCUCUCGCGUCAGGAUAUGCCUAGGUGGGAUUAGCUAGUUGGUGAGGUAAGGGCUCACCAAGGCGACGAUCCCUAGCUGGUCUGAGAGGAUGAUCAGCCACACUGGAACUGAGACACGGUCCAGACUCCUACGGGAGGCAGCAGUGGGGAAUAUUGCACAAUGGGCGCAAGCCUGAUGCAGCCAUGCCGCGUGUGUGAAGAAGGCCUUCGGGUUGUAAAGCACUUUCAGUCGUGAGGAAGGUAGUGUAGUUAAUAGCUGCAUUAUUUGACGUUAGCGACAGAAGAAGCACCGGCUAACUCCGUGCCAGCAGCCGCGGUAAUACGGAGGGUGCGAGCGUUAAUCGGAAUUACUGGGCGUAAAGCGCAUGCAGGUGGUUUGUUAAGUCAGAUGUGAAAGCCCGGGGCUCAACCUCGGAAUUGCAUUUGAAACUGGCAGACUAGAGUACUGUAGAGGGGGGUAGAAUUUCAGGUGUAGCGGUGAAAUGCGUAGAGAUCUGAAGGAAUACCGGUGGCGAAGGCGGCCCCCUGGACAGAUACUGACACUCAGAUGCGAAAGCGUGGGGAGCAAACAGGAUUAGAUACCCUGGUAGUCCACGCCGUAAACGAUGUCUACUUGGAGGUUGUGGCCUUGAGCCGUGGCUUUCGGAGCUAACGCGUUAAGUAGACCGCCUGGGGAGUACGGUCGCAAGAUUAAAACUCAAAUGAAUUGACGGGGGCCCGCACAAGCGGUGGAGCAUGUGGUUUAAUUCGAUGCAACGCGAAGAACCUUACCUACUCUUGACAUCCAGAGAACUUUCCAGAGAUGGAUUGGUGCCUUCGGGAACUCUGAGACAGGUGCUGCAUGGCUGUCGUCAGCUCGUGUUGUGAAAUGUUGGGUUAAGUCCCGCAACGAGCGCAACCCUUAUCCUUGUUUGCCAGCGAGUAAUGUCGGGAACUCCAGGGAGACUGCCGGUGAUAAACCGGAGGAAGGUGGGGACGACGUCAAGUCAUCAUGGCCCUUACGAGUAGGGCUACACACGUGCUACAAUGGCGCAUACAGAGGGCGGCCAACUUGCGAAAGUGAGCGAAUCCCAAAAAGUGCGUCGUAGUCCGGAUUGGAGUCUGCAACUCGACUCCAUGAAGUCGGAAUCGCUAGUAAUCGUGGAUCAGAAUGCCACGGUGAAUACGUUCCCGGGCCUU
rnacentral:rRNA from 1 species